rnacentral:rRNA from 1 species
UACGGAAGGUGCAAGCGUUAGUCGGAAUUACUGGGCGUAAAGGGUGCGUAGGCGGUUAUAUAAGUCGGUUGUGAAAUUCCGGGGCUUAACCUCGGAGCUGCAAUCGAAACUGUUUAACUUGAGGAAUGGCGGAGAAAAUGGAAUUCCAUAUGUAGCGGUGAAAUGCGUAGAUAUAUGGAAGAACACCUGUGGCGAAAGCGGUUUUCUAGCUUACUCCUGACGCUGAGGCACGAAAGCAAGGGGAG